rnacentral:rRNA from 1 species
GACGAACCGUGCGAACGUUGUUCGGAAUCACUGGGCUUAAAGGGCGCGUAGGCGGCUUGGCAAGUCAGUGGUGAAAUCCUCCGGCUUAACCGGAGAAGUGCCAUUGAUACUGCUGAGCUUGAGGGAGGUAGGGGCAGCUGGAACUUCUGGUGGAGCGGUGAAAUGCGUUGAUAUCAGAAGGAACGCCGGUGGCGAAAGCGAGCUGCUGGAUCUCUACUGACGCUGAGGCGCGAAAGCUAGGGGAGCAAACGGG